ACAUUUUCGUUGGUAAAGCUCCUAUUUGCUUUCUCUGAAUCUGUAUCAGUUCAUGCAGUUCUGCCAAGUGGGGAAGCUUUGCAGGACACUGCCACUGUAGCACUUGAAAUAUUAAGAUGAACAGAACAAGCAAAAGGUGGGAAAACUGGAAAGAUUGAAUGUCCUUUGGAGUUCACAGAGGUUUGGCAGUGGGAGGAGAAAAACAAAACGAAGCAUAGUGGGAGUGUUGAACAGACUUUCCCAAGAUCCCCAGGGAAAUCAACAAAGAGUAUUGCUUUCUUGCAAAUUGGCAGGAAGGUUUCCAGCAUAAUGAAAGAGUGCAGAAAAAACAAGUUAAUUCAAGGAUAAAACUGUGAAUAAGUAGAAGAGAAGACUACACCAGGAAAAGAGACGGAGAUAGAGGCCCAAUAGAGAUCAGUGGAGUGUUGCUGUUCUGGCCAUAAACCUCUGUGGACAGUGGCUCCUUUGCCAGGGUUUUGCUUGGGCCUACUGGGCUAGUUCUGCUCACUCAGCCUGCCAGGCUGUGCUCAGCACACACUACAUGCCUGGAUC
ensembl:lncRNA LINC01965 long intergenic non-protein coding RNA 1965